AUUUUUAGCAAUGAAAAGAGACUUUAUUUAGAUUGGGAAAGGACUUUCCCCUUGUGUCCCCUGUCACUCUGAGUCACCUCCCAUGGCACCUUAACUUCGGAAUCCUGACGCUGCUUGACAAGAAGAAUGGCCCUCAGGUGGAGAAGGAUUUUACCAGAUGCCAAGAGAGGCUGAGAUCCUGUGAGACAGAUGAUGCCACCUCUGAGAGGAAUCAGCCUUCAAAGAAACACAUGAUUAUCACACGGGUAGCGCCAGCAUCAAGAUUCAGAGGCAGACCCUUAGCUACUCCACAUCUGUUCAAGAUGGGCAUUCAACAACGUCAUUUGGAAGCUUAAAUGAGAUGAUGAUUUAAAGCUCUGUGGGCAGGGGAUUUAGGUGUAAGUACCUGCCUGGCAAGUGCAAGGUCUUGAGUUCAAUCCCUGGUACAAAACAAAACAAAACUCUGUCGGAGGCUGAGGAUGAAGCUUAAUGGUAGAACACUUGUCUACUAUGUAUGUGCAGGGCACUAGGUUCAGUACCCAGCACUGCAAACAAAAACCAAAACAAGCUGUGGAAAAUAAAAGGAGAAAAACCAAAGCCUUGUUGUUGGUCUCCGUUGCUUACCUAAGUCACCUAUAGGUUGCACGGCUUGGGAACCCGAGUAAUUAGAGACCUG
rnacentral:lncRNA from 1 species